GAUAUUUGAAUAUUUUAAAUUGUUCAGUAAAAAAAAAAGUUACUUGUAACUUGGAUAGUUUUCAUCUGUCUCUUCACAAAGUUUGCGGACAAUUACUUAAAUGGCUUCACCUCACUUCUGCAUCUAAAUAGAUAUACAUUAUUAAGCACUAUGGUAUUAUUUGUAAUUAAGAAUUGAUAAUAUCCUUGACGCUGAAGACAGAUAGAAGGAUGGAUGGCUAGACAGAACAUUAUAAUGGCCUAAACAGUUUCUGUGUUUUUUAUAGAUAGCAAGCUUCCUACAAAAUAUUUAUUUCUAAAUAUGUUUGCCUAUU